GAUGAAGAACGUAGCGAAAUGCGAUAAGUAAUGUGAAUUGCAGAAUUCAGUGAAUCAUCGAAUCUUUGAACGCACAUUGCGCCUGCCAGUAUUCUGGCGGGCAUGCCUGUUCGAGCGUCAUUUCAACCCUCAAGCCCAGCUUGGUGUUGGGGAUCGGCACAGGCGCCCUCGGGCGCCCGCCGUCCCCUAAAUCUAGUGGCGGUCCCGCUGCAGCCUCCUCUGCGUAGUAGUUUUCUCCUCGCAAGGGCAGCUCGGUGGCGACCUCGCCGUAAAACCCCCAACUUCUGAAAGGUUGACCUCGAAUCAGGUAGGAAUACCCGCUGAACUUAAGCAUAUCAAUAAGCGGAGGA
rnacentral:misc_RNA from 1 species